GACGCUUGAUGAUAAGUUGUAGGUACUGGAUUGUAAGAGGGAUCAGGAGGAAAAAAAUGUUGAGAUGUUAUAAGAGCUUUUGGUUUUAAGGAAAUUGUUUUACUUCGAAUAACCAUGUGAUGGUGAGAGGUAUCUGAGGGUCAAAAAUACGAAGGAGUUGUGGUCGGGUAAGAGGAACCAAUAGAUGGUAGAUGCUUAGGUAGGUUAGUAGAUGAUGUAUGCUCUACUUGUGGAGGAGACAGAGAGGUACAAUAGAGGGUAAGUUUGUAUUAUUAGUGUGCUCAGGUGAGGUAUAGAUGAUACAACUAGAAUAUUUGAUAAUGACCUUGCCACGAUGAGGUGUGCGGGAGAAUGUGAACACACUAUAUGUUGAGAAACUUGAUCGAGUAAAGAAAGGGAUGAGUUGCUGGAAUGUGAUGAGGGAGAGGAUGAUUUUGU
rnacentral:lncRNA from 1 species